AGACGCUGGCGGCAGGCUUAACACAUGCAAGUCGAACGAAGUCUUCGGACUUAGUGGCAGACGGGUGAGUAACGCGUGGGAACCUACCCUUUGGUACGGAACAACAGUUGGAAACGACUGCUAAUACCGUAUGAGCCCUACGGGGGAAAGAUUUAUCGCCAAAGGAUGGGCCCGCGUUGGAUUAGCUAGUUGGUGGGGUAAAAGCCUACCAAGGCGACGAUCCAUAGCUGGUCUGAGAGGAUGAUCAGCCACACUGGGACUGAGACACGGCCCAGACUCCUACGGGAGGCAGCAGUGGGGAAUAUUGGACAAUGGGGGCAACCCUGAUCCAGCCAUGCCGCGUGAGUGAUGAAGGCCCUAGGGUUGUAAAGCUCUUUCAGCGAGGAGGAUAAUGACGUUACUCGCAGAAGAAGCCCCGGCUAACUUCGUGCCNCAGCCGCGGUAAUUCCGAAGGGGGCUAGCGUUGUU
rnacentral:rRNA from 1 species